ensembl:lncRNA
CCAACGUCGAGCCAACGUCUCAGGCCAACGUCAGAUUGACAUCAAAUACUGAUGUUUAGUCGUCAGGUAUGGCAACCAAAAUCCAAUGUCUUCAAGACGUCAUAAUGGUAACGUCCAAUCAACGUCAAAUUAUAACGUCAUUUGACUUUGAUCUUUAGUUAGUUUUAGGUUGUGGCAUUAACUAACCAAAAUCCAACAUCAAGACAACGUCUCAAGCCAACGUCAGAUUGACAUCAAAUACUGAUACUUAGUCGUCAGGUAUGGCAACCAAAAUCCAAUGUCUUCAAGACGUCAUAAUGGUAACGUCGAAUCAACGUCCAAUUAUAACGUCAUUUGACUUUGAUCUUUAGUUUGUUUUUAGGUUGUGACAUUAACUAACCUAAACCCAACGUCGAGCCAACGUCUCAGGCCAACGUCACAUUGACAUCAAAUACUGAUGUUUAGUCGUCAGGUAUGGCAACCAAAAUCCAAUGUCUUCAAGACGUCA